rnacentral:rRNA from 1 species
GACGAACGCUGGCGGCGUGCCUAAUACAUGCAAGUAGAACGCACAGUUUAUACCGUAGCUUGCUACACCAUAAACUGUGAGUUGCGAACGGGUGAGUAACGCGUAGGUAACCUGCCUGGUAGCGGGGGAUAACUAUUGGAAACGAUAGCUAAUACCGCAUAAUAUUGAUUAUUGCAUGAUAAUUGAUUGAAAGAUGCUAUUGCAUCACUACCAGAUGGACCUGCGUUGUAUUAGCUAGUAGGUGAGGUAACGGCUCACCUAGGCGACGAUACAUAGCCGAACUGAGAGGGUGAUCGGCCACACUGGGACUGAGACACGGCCCAGACUCCUACGGGAGGCAGCAGUAGGGAAUCUUCGGCAAUAGACGAAAGUCUGACCGAGCAACGCCGCGUGAGUGAAGAAGGUUUUCGGAUCGUAAAGAUCUGUUGUAAGAGAAGAACGGGUGUGAGAGUGGAAAGUUCACACUGUGACGGUAUCUUACCAGAAAGGGACGGCUAACUACGUG